AUUUCAGCCCACCUUUCUUAAAAAAACAAUAUUCUCUCAAGAAAAGCUCGCCCUUUUCCCGAAUUCCGGUUUUGCUCCGAUCGACCACCGCCGUGCCGGCCGUCGCCGGCGACCACCGUCGGCCACCGUACACGGUGGCGGAAAAUCGCAGAAGGUGCAAGUUGGUAGUGGUUGGAAGCAGUAGAGAGCUGACGUCGGUGGCGUGCUGCAGGCGUGGCCGGUGGAGGAGUGAGUGGUGACAGAGGAGUCAGAGGGUUGGUCAAAGGGCAGUGGCGGCUAGGGUAGAUUAGGGUUUCAAAAAUUUUUUGUGUAAUGUGUAUUGGGCUGCUUUUAAUUGGGUCUUGUUUUAGGGGAUAAAUGGGUUUGGUUUUUUUUGUUGGGCUAGGUUGUAAAUGGGCCCGGGCAUAAUUUGGGUAUUACAACUGUGACAUUGAUGUUUCCUGGUUCAGAUCACCGUCGAAAGCUCCCAGCUGUAUAAGGAGUAUAGAGUUCUGUUUUGGCAUAGGCAGGGGUCAAAGUUGGGAAAUUCAUGAAAUCUCCAGAGAAGUAAAUGGGACAGCUGAUCGCCUAGUCAAGGCUGGGAUCAAAAGACAAUCUAGCUUGUUAUCGCUUUGUGGUUAACUGUAAGAAUGAAUGUUCAACUGAGUUUUCCUCA